AAAAAAGCAGGGGCCUGUUGCCUAUGUGAACAGGCCUCUCGUAAACUUCAGGGAAAUCAGUUACAUUGUUAUUGGGUGAACCUCUGUUUUAUUUUAUGUGGCUGAAGGUUCAGUAAAUGAUGACACAUUU
rnacentral:snoRNA from 13 species